rnacentral:rRNA from 1 species
GGGUUGUGAGGUUAAGCGACUAAGCGUACACGGUGGAUGCCCUGGCAGUCAGAGGCGAUGAAGGACGUGCUAAUCUGCGAUAAGCGUCGGUAAGGUGAUAUGAACCGUUAUAACCGGCGAUUUCCGAAUGGGGAAACCCAGUGUGAUUCGUCACACUAUCAUUAACUGAAUCCAUAGGUUAAUGAGGCGAACCGGGGGAACUGAAACAUCUAAGUACCCCGAGGAAAAGAAAUCAACCGAGAUUCCCCCAGUAGCGGCGAGCGAACGGGGAGCAGCCCAGAGCCUGAAUCAGUGUGUGUGUUAGUGGAAGCGUCUGGAAAGGCGCGCGAUACAGGGUGACAGCCCCGUACACAAAAAUGCACAUACUGUGAGCUCGAUGAGUAGGGCGGGACACGUGGUAUCCUGUCUGAAUAUGGGGGGACCAUCCUCCAAGGCUAAAUACUCCUGACUGACCGAUAGUGAACCAGUACCGUGAGGGAAAGGCGAAAAGAACCCCGGCGAGGGGAGUGAAAAAGAACCUGAAACCGUGUACGUACAAGCAGUGGGAGCACGCUUAGGCGUGUGACUGCGUACCUUUUGUAUAAUGGGUCAGCGACUUAUAUUCUGUAGCAAGGUUAACCGAAUAGGGGAGCCGAAGGGAAACCGAGUCUUAACUGGGCGUUAAGUUGCAGGGUAUAGACCCGAAACCCGGUGAUCUAGCCAUGGGCAGGUUGAAGGUUGGGUAACACUAACUGGAGGACCGAACCGACUAAUGUUGAAAAAUUAGCGGAUGACUUGUGGCUGGGGGUGAAAGGCCAAUCAAACCGGGAGAUAGCUGGUUCUCCCCGAAAGCUAUUUAGGUAGCGCCUCGUGAAUUCAUCUCCGGGGGUAGAGCACUGUUUCGGCAAGGGGGUCAUCCCGACUUACCAACCCGAUGCAAACUGCGAAUACCGGAGAAUGUUAUCACGGGAGACACACGGCGGGUGCUAACGUCCGUCGUGAAGAGGGAAACAACCCAGACCGCCAGCUAAGGUCCCAAAGUCAUGGUUAAGUGGGAAACGAUGUGGGAAGGCCCAGACAGCCAGGAUGUUGGCUUAGAAGCAGCCAUCAUUUAAAGAAAGCGUAAUAGCUCACUGGUCGAGUCGGCCUGCGCGGAAGAUGUAACGGGGCUAAACCAUGCACCGAAGCUGCGGCAGCGACGCUUAUGCGUUGUUGGGUAGGGGAGCGUUCUGUAAGCCUGUGAAGGUGUGCUGUGAGGCAUGCUGGAGGUAUCAGAAGUGCGAAUGCUGACAUAAGUAACGAUAAAGCGGGUGAAAAGCCCGCUCGCCGGAAGACCAAGGGUUCCUGUCCAACGUUAAUCGGGGCAGGGUGAGUCGACCCCUAAGGCGAGGCCGAAAGGCGUAGUCGAUGGGAAACAGGUUAAUAUUCCUGUACUUGGUGUUACUGCGAAGGGGGGACGGAGAAGGCUAUGUUGGCCGGGCGACGGUUGUCCCGGUUUAAGCGUGUAGGCUGGUUUUCCAGGCAAAUCCGGAAAAUCAAGGCUGAGGCGUGAUGACGAGGCACUACGGUGCUGAAGCAACAAAUGCCCUGCUUCCAGGAAAAGCCUCUAAGCAUCAGGUAACAUCAAAUCGUACCCCAAACCGACACAGGUGGUCAGGUAGAGAAUACCAAGGCGCUUGAGAGAACUCGGGUGAAGGAACUAGGCAAAAUGGUGCCGUAACUUCGGGAGAAGG